UGACCUCGGAUCAGGUACGGAUACCCGCUGAGAUUAAGCAUAUCAAUACCCGGAGGAAAAGAAACCAACAGGGAUUGCCC
rnacentral:rRNA from 1 species